GCUUACGGCCAUACCACCCUGAACGGGCCGAUCUCGUCUGAUCUCGGAAGCCAAGCAGGGUCGGGCCUGGUCAGUACUUGGACGGGAGACCGCCUGGGAAACCAGGUGCUGUAAGCU
rnacentral:rRNA from 1 species